CGAAUCCUUUAGAGAUAGAGGAGUGCCUUCGGGAACGCUGAGACAGGUGCUGCAUGGCUGUCGUCAGCUCGUGUUGUGAAAUGUUGGGUUAAGUCCCGCAACGAGCGCAACCCUUAUCCUUUGUUGCCAGCACGUAAUGGUGGGAACUCAAAGGAGACUGCCGGUGAUAAACCGGAGGAAGGUGGGGAUGACGUCAAGUCAUCAUGGCCCUUACGAGUAGGGCUACACACGUGCUACAAUGGCAGAUACAAAGAGAAGCGACCUCGCGAGAGCAAGCGGAACUCAUAAAGUCUGUCGUAGUCCGGAUUGGAGUCUGCAACUCGACUCCAUGAAGUCGGAAUCGCUAGUAAUCGUAGAUCAGAAUGCUACGGUGAAUACGUUCCCGGGCCUUGUACACACCGCCCGUCACACCAUGGGAGUGGGUUGCAAAAGAAGUAGGUAGCUUAACCUUCGGGAGGGCGCUUACCACUUUGUGAUUCAUGACUGGGGUGAAGUCGUAACAAGGUAACCGUAGGGGAACCUGCGGUUGGAUCACCUCCUUACCU
rnacentral:rRNA from 1 species